rnacentral:lncRNA from 1 species
CCAGACCACCUGCUGGAGAAAGAAAGCAUGGCACAUUGAAUGCCACAGCCACAGUUGGAAUCACAGAUCUCAGUUAAAGCCAUCUGGCCCCAAGCACGUGGGCAGCUGGUCAUGGGGUGAAAUGGGAAAUGCUCUAACCUCCCCUUACAAGAGUCUGUGGAAGCAGAGUCCCAGCCUCAGGAACAGAAUCAUUAAAUCCUGCUCAUUUUAAGGGCAGAGGCAGAGAGGGAAGGAAGGCUCUGUCCCUCCUCAUCAACCCAAGACUGGGAUUCUGGGUAGCACUGACUCAGAAGAGGCUUGGAGACCCCCAAGAGCAGGCCCCCGCACUUGCUGGUGGCUGAUUCCCAGCCUGUGGGCAUGGAUUUGGGAGGAAUUACACUGUGCAAAUGAACACGGUUUUUGCAGACUUGUGGGACCUGCCAGCUCUCUCAGUUUAACUAGAUCUCUG